GAUGAACGCUGGCGGCGUGCCUAAUACAUGCAAGUCGAGCGAACAGACGAGGAGCUUGCCCCUCUGACGUUAGCGGCGCACGGGUGAGUAACACGUGGAUAACCUACCUAUAAGACUGGGAUAACUUCGGGAAACCGGAGCUAAUACCGGAUAAUAUAUUGAACCGCAUGGUUCAAUAGUGAAAGACGGUUUUGCUGUCACUUAUAGAUGGAUCCGCGCCGCAUUAGCUAGUUGGUAAGGUAACGGCUUACCAAGGCAACGAUGCGUAGCCGACCUGAGAGGGUGAUCGGCCACACUGGAACUGAGACACGGUCCAGACUCCUACGGGAGGCAGCAGUAGGGAAUCUUCCGCAAUGGGCGAAAGCCUGACGGAGCAACGCCGCGUGAGUGAUGAAGGUCUUCGGAUCGUAAAACUCUGUUAUUAGGGAAGAACAAAUGUGUAAGUAACUAUGCACGUCUUGACGGUACCUAAUCAGAAAGCCACGGCUAACUACGUG
rnacentral:rRNA from 1 species